rnacentral:lncRNA from 1 species
GAGAAGGGUGAGAUAAAUCAAGAACUAAUAUAUGAAGAAUGAGGGAAAUCAAGAAAGUUACUAGAAAAAAUUUCCCAGCAAAAGAAAAGGAGAAAAUAAUAAAAAUGAUUAUAGAUGAACACAGUUAAUCAGAAGAUUCAAGAUUCAAGAGAUAUGAAUAUGGGCACCAAAGAAAAAUAAAAACAUGAGAAAAUUAAGGAAAGUAAUGGUCUACAAAAGUGGAAGGGAGUAAGGACAGUCUGGCACUUGUGAUUGGUCAGUGACAAAGCCAACUGUAUCCCAUUCACUAACCU